GACGAACGCUGGCGGCGUGCUUAACACAUGCAAGUCGAACGGAAAGGCCCUGCUCGGGGGGGGCUCGCGUGGCGAAAGGGGGAGUAACACGCGAGUAACCUGCCCUCGACUCUUGGGUAAAUCCAGAAAACAGGGGGGAUUAUCGGAUAGAAGCUCCUGCGGUACGGGGGGGGGUGGGAAGAUUUGGCGGGUGGGGGUGGGGUCGCGGCGUAUCUGCUUGUUGGGGGGGGAGUGGCUUACCAAGGGGUUGGCGGGUAGCCGGCCUGGGAGGGGGACCGGCCCCCUUGGGACUGGGGUACGGCCCAGGCCCCUACGGGGAGCAGCAGGGGGGAAAUUUGCCCAAUGGGUGGGAGCCUGAUGCAGCAACGCCGUGUGCGGGAUGACGGCCUUCGGGUUGGAAACCGCUUUCGCUCAUUACGGAGCUUUGUGUGACGGUAGUGGGUAAAGAAGCACCGGCUAACUACGUG
rnacentral:rRNA from 1 species